rfam:Burkholderia vietnamiensis G4 chromosome 1, complete sequence.
ACGACGAAACAGGGGUGCUUCGAGUGCGGCCAUGGGUAGUUCCGGGCAACGCUGCGAGGCUGAGAAAGACCCUUCGCACCCGAUCCGGGUAAUACCGGCGAGGGAAGUUUCUGAUCCCGCCGG